UAAUCUAUGGUCGGGUUGUGGUCCCUUUGACACAUUCCCCAUUUCCAUUCUUAAUUUUAAGAAUAAUGUUUUAAAUAAUAAUUUUAAAUACAUGAAUAUACUACACUCUUUAUAUGAGUGUUAAUGCAUAAAAUUGAGGAUGGAAAUGGGGAAUGUGUCAAAGAGACAACAACCCGACCAUACAA
rnacentral:sRNA from 1 species